rnacentral:rRNA from 1 species
AUUGAACGCUGGCGGCAUGCCUUACACAUGCAAGUCGAACGGCAGCACGGGAGUAAUCCUGGUGGCGAGAGGCGAACGGGUGAGUAAUAUAUCGGAACGUGCCCAGUCGUGGGGGAUAACGUAGCGAAAGAUGUGCUAACACCGCAUACGAUCUAAGGAUGAAAGCGGGGGAUCGCAAGACCUCGCGCGAUCGGAGCGGCCGAUAUCAGACUAGCUAGUUGGUGGGGUAAAGGCUCACCAAGGCGACGAUCUGUAGCUGGUCUGAGAGGACGACCAGCCACACUGGAACUGAGACACGGUCCAGACUCCUACGGGAGGCAGCAGUGGGGAAUUUUGGACAAUGGGCGCAAGCCUGAUCCAGCAAUGCCGCGUGCAGGAUGAAGGCCUUCGGGUUGUAAACUGCUUUUGUACGGAACGAAACGGCCCUUUCUAAUACAGGGGGCUAAUGACGGUACCGUAAGAAUAAGCACCGGCUAACUACGUGCCAGCCGCCGCCGUAA